GUGAUAGGGAAGAUGUUUAUAAAUUCUUCUGUGGGAUCAGAGGGCAAGCCUAUUAUAACCAGAAAACUCCAAGUAUAGCAGCAAGGAUGGAUAAACAGGCUCUAUUAGGGCUAAAUCCAAAUGCUGAUUCAGACUUUAGACUAAGGGCCCUGGCCUAUUUUGAGCAGUUAAAGAUUUCCCCAGAUGCCUGGCAGGUGUGUGCAGAAGCUCUAGCCCAGAGGACAUAUAGUGAUGAUCAUGUAAAGUUUUUCUGCUUUCAAGUACUGGAACAUCAAGUUAAAUACAAAUAUUCAGAACUAACCACUGUUCAACAACAACUAAUUAGGGAGACGCUCAUAUCAUGGCUGCAAGCUCAGAUGCUGAAUCCCCAACCAGAGAAGACCUUUAUACCAAAUAAAGCCGCCCAAGUCCUCGCCUUGCUUUUUGUUGCAGAAUAUCUCACUAAGUGGCCCAAGUUUUUUUUUUGACAUUCUCUCAGUAGUGGACCUAAAUCCAA
rnacentral:lncRNA from 1 species